GCUGCUGAUGGAGAAGCUCUGUGUCUGAGUCCAAGACAAAGUCAUUAUAAAUGGAAAAACACUGGUUUGCCAGAGAAGCUCGGUUCAAAGCGGCUCCUGUCAUCUCAUAGUGGGUAAGGCUGAAACAAAACCUCCCAGUGGGACAGUGACAGAUACAGUGCACACAGUGAAGUUGUUGAAAAUGACAGGGCUGAUGUGCUGGAAAACCCAGAGGCCAAAAAGCUCCAUUAUUUUGUGUACUCAUUACUGGAGAGCUGUGGUUUGUCGCAGAACUGUAUUUUAAAUUGUAGUGAUUUCUUCCAAGCAUACUGUAUGUGGGUUAAAUUUGCACCGCCUGUCCUCCUCACCUCCUGUUUUCUUCCUCUUCUCUUUAUUUCUCAGCAGUGACAGUGACUGUACUUAGACAGUUUUCAGUUCAAAGGUCAUCUCCGUGUCUGACAUGAGUCGGAGUUGGUGGACCGGUCCGGCACCGAGGAGAAGCGGCUCGGUGUUCAGUCAGCGGAGGAGUCAGAGACAAAGAUGGGGAGAUGAACGAAGCAGCAUCUGUUUCCAUGACAGCUGCCUGCAUUCGGCCGUGGAGCCAGUCUCCCACCUCCUGCGCUAACAACACAGCAGCAUGCUCGGAUCAGGAGCCCCGUCGCCACGGGGAACCACAGCUUGAUUGAUGGCAACUGCAUCUACGCCAUCAGCUUCCCUGUGAGAAUCCAAAAUGGCUGCCUGUUUCCACGGCGACAACAGACAUGCCCCCCCGCCAUGGAGAUGAAUGGAAACUCUUGUGAGUCAGAGGUCACAGAACUCUUCGUCCCUCUGAGAAAACCAGUGAAGAAGAGUCCAUCUUCACCUCCUCUUCAUCAGCCGGUCGCUUCUCUUCAACCCCCCUUUCCUCCAGUGCUGCACCCGUGCGAGAUAGGAAGUGACCUACAUAGCGUGGCGGCUCCCUCGCCUUGGCUGUCAUUUGCAUUUCAAGGGGUGAUGAAUAAUUUACACACACAUAUACUCACAGUUACGAUUCCCAAAUCUCCCCAUCCGAACACUGAACGUACAUCCCGCUGCAACAUGACAGGCCUCAAUAAUGUUAGAUAA
rnacentral:lncRNA from 1 species